CUUUACUAUAGUUUAGCAUUGAAUCUGGUUAAUUAAUGUGUAGGAUAGGUGGGAGACUUUGAAGCGGCCUCGCUAGGGGCUGUGGAGUCGUCCUUGAAAUACCACCCUUUGAUUCAUUGGAUUCUAACCUACGGGACAGUGCUUGAUGGGUAGUUUGACUGGGGUGGUCGCCUCCAAAAAAGUAUCGGAGGCUUCUAAAGGUACCCUCUGCACGGUUGGUAAUCGUGCUUCGAGUAUAAUGGCAUAAGGGUGCUUGACUGCGAGACAUACAAGUCGAGCAGGGACGAAAGUCGAGCAUAGUGAUCCGGUGGUUCCGAAUGGAAGGGCCAUCGCUCAAAGGAUAAAAGGUA
rnacentral:rRNA from 1 species